rnacentral:rRNA from 1 species
CAGUCGCCGCGGGAAUACGAAGGGUGCAAGCGUUAAUCGGAAUUACUGGGCGUAAAGCGUGCGUAGGCGGUGAGUUAAGUCUGCUGUGAAAUCCCCGGGCUCAACCUGGGAAUGGCAGUGGAUACUGGCUCGCAAGAGUGUGUCAGAGGAUGGUGGAAUUCCCGGUGUAGCGGUGAAAUGCGUAGAGAUCGGGAGGAACAUCAGUGGCGAAGGCGGCCAUCUGGGACAACACUGACGCUGAGGCACGAAAGCGUGGGGAGCAAACAGGAUUAGAUACCCCAGUAGUCCCUGUCUCUUAUAA